rnacentral:lncRNA from 1 species
GCAGCUAGCCCAACAAAAAAAAGUUCAACUUCAAUUCACAUUCUCCACUGAUAUUUUACCAUUACAUAGCCAUGUAGAAUUCAAGGACAUCAUUUUUAAAAUGUCAUGAAAACAGCCAUUCAACUCUAGUUCACCAAAAACUAAGACAACACAACAAAUAUGGUUGCUCAAGAUCUAAACGGAGGUAGAGUCGAGUUGGCAAAGUGGUUUGAUCAUGCUCUAGUCAACAUCUUGUUUCAUUUUCAAGUUUAACCGGUGAUUUUCUACUAAAAUCCAACGCUUGGAGAUUUUUAUCAAUAGAGUGAAGAAAGUUUACUCCAUCAAGCUUCUUUCUCAACUUUUUUAUUCAAUUUUUAUCCAUCUGUUUUAGUUGUUUUCAUGACUAGUGUAUAUCUAUGCAGAGGCAUAUCUAAGGGGGGUCACCGGGUUCACGUGAACCCAUGGUCCCCUCCCGAGAUCAUAAAUAGUAGUGUUAUAAUUUUAAAAAAUAUUGAAAUAUAGAUGCGUGAACCCACACUUCAAGUAUUAGAUAAUGGGAUUAUGACUGGGUGCACCUCUCUCCGCGAGGUUAGAAAGUUGAAUUUUAUAUUUAUCUUGUUUUAUUUUUCUUUCUAAAAUUAGAUUACACUUCUCUAAAUGGUAAUUGGUAUAUAAGAAUUAAUUUUAGACCUAUAAUUUUAAAAUUUUAAUGUUUUUCAGUAGUAAAAACCUAAAUGUCGAACUGAUCAAAUUUAUAUCAUAGAUCAACCUUUAUAUAACAGUGCACCCAUCAUCUCAAAAUCCUGAAUAUGCCUCUGUUAAUCUAUGUCAAUGUGUUUGCUUUAGCUAAUGUUAAUGUUUCAAGAAUCAUUCUUGAAUUGCAAUUCUUAUUUUGUUUUGUAUUUUGGUGUCUCAUCACGUGAAAUUUCCUUUUUAUGGAUCCAUUUUGUGGUAUAUACGUUAGAUUAUAUAUGUGCUCUAGCUGGAUGUUGUCUUUUUCUAUUAUUUAUUAUGAUGUUGGACACCUAAAAAGAAAUAACACUACAACAAAAUAGCCAUUUAGUGGCAUUAGAUUACUUUUUAAAUAUUGCCGGAAAAUAUUUUGCGGCAAUUGAGUUAAUAUAAUUGCCUCUAGAGUCACUAAAGUUUUUAACUACAUUUAUGCAAAGUGUUGGUUAUAAAUAUUCAUAUUUAAUAUUGCAUUAAAUUUAAUAUAGUGACAACUAUAUUAUUGCUAUUACAUUCUUUAUUUGUUGUAUUGUAAAAAGACUAAUUCUUGUCAAAUCUAUAUAGAUAAGAAGAUAUAUAAGCCAAACCCCAUAUUUUUCAUUCAAAUAUAUAUACAAUUUUGCUAGGGAAAAAAAGGGAAAGAAAGAGUAAAUUAAGAAAAUAAAGCAACUCUGAGUUCCAAGGUAAAAGAUGGAACUUUAAAAGACAAGUAAAAGUCUAAUAUGGGUGAAAGAGGGAAAAAGACCCUUUCGGAAACAAGAAUGUUAGCAGAAAUGUGAAAAUAAAGAACAAGGAAGAACAACAAUAUUUAACGUGGUUCGGAUCAAAAUGAUCCUACGUCCACCGGAGAACAAAUGUUUGUAUAUUAGCAAAGAAACGGGAGAGAUCCCAAAUGCAUCUAAGAGAAUUGCUCUACUACUUAUCUACUCUUCUAAUGUAUUUUGCUAUGAGUUUAGAAUGGUUUUAACAAUGAAGAAUGGCCAUCCUUUUAUAGUUGGCCAAACUUGGGCUCGAAGCACAAAAGAAAAGAAAUACAAAAUUGUCUUCCACAAAUUUUAGCUUGCUCUCCAAGUUUAAUUCCCAGCCAAGUAAAUUGGCACAUUGAAUUUUCUUUCAUUGGGUUUUACCCCACAAGGACUAAACCAACUCUUUCAAUCUCCAGCUUGGUUUGCGUUUCAAGCAUGAACAACUCCGGCCAAAACUUCAAAGCUUAAUGGGAAAUCACGUAGUAAAAAAACAAGAAGAAUCAAACGUUUGUUGAACACACUAGCUCCACCUAGCAGUUGUUCUCCUAGAGUUGCAUCAGUAGAUGCAUACUCCCGCUAAGUCCUUGCAAUGUGCAAACUUGGCAAGCGGGACUCUCUUAGUUAGCAUGUUUGCAAUGUUAUCAUUUGUGAUAACCUUCUCGACCUUUAUAGAUCUGUCUUCAACAACAUCUCGAAUAAAAUGGAAGCUGACAUCAAUGUGUUUGGUGCGCUCAUAGAAUCUUUGAUUUUUAAUCAAAUGAAUAGCGCUUUGACUAUCACAUCUUAGAGUUGCUUCCAGCUCAACCAAACUCAAUUCUGCCACCAAACCUUUCAACCAGAUAGCUUUGUUUACUGCCCCCAUUGCUGCCAUAUUCUGCCUCUAUUGUAGGCAAAGCGACAAUCGAAUGUAAAGUCAAUUUUCAACUAACAACACUGUCAACGAGAGUAAAUAUAUAUCAAGUUGUGGACCUCUUUCUAUCAAGAUCCCCUGCAUAGUCUGAAUCUACAUAACUGAGAACCGAAAUACCUUUACUUUUCGAAUGGUUAGGCCAAAAUCAGAAGCUCUUUUGAGAUAUCUCAAUAUCCAUUUGACAGCUUCCAAAUGUCUUUAUCCCAGAUUUGUCAUGUACCUGCUUAUCACACUUACAUAUUGAGCAAUAUAAUGGACGUGUGCACACCAUAGCAUACAUAAUGCUACCAAUUGCACUAGCAUAAGGAGCUUUUGACAUGUGCUCCACCACAACCACAAACUAAGGCACUUGUAACUCUGAAGCUUGAAAUGAAAGCUAACGGUAUGGCUUGCUCAUAUACAUAUUGAAUCUUAGAAGAGGUACAUUGAAAAGGUUUUUGAGAGAUUCAAUAUGCAUAUGAGCAAGCAUGUAAGUACACGGUUAGCUUCUCAUUUCAAGCUUUCAGAGUUACAAAUGCCUCAGUCUGUGGAUUGGGGGGAGAACAUGUCAAAAGUCCCUUAUGCUAGCGUAGUUGGUAGCAUUAUGUAUGCUAUGGUAUGCACACGUCCAUAUAUUUCUCAAUUUGUAAGUGUGGUAAGAAGGUACUUGGCAAAUCCAGGAAAAAGGCACUGGGAACUGUCAACUGGAUAUUGAGAUAUCUCAAAGGAGCUUCUGAUGUUCGCCUAACCUUUCAGCAAAGUGAAGAUAUUUCAGUUCUCGGUUAUGUAGAUUCUGACUAUGCAAGGGAUCUUUAUAGAAGGAUGUCCACAAUUGGAUACAUCUUUACUCUUGUAGGCAGUUCCAUCAGUUGGAAAUCGACUUUGUAGUUGAUUGUCGCUUUGUCUACAACAGAGGCAGAAUAUAUGGAAGCAACGAAGGGAGUGAAAGAAGCUAUCUGGUUGAAAGGUUUGGUGGCAGAAUUGAGUUUGGUUCAGCUGGAAUCAACUUAAGAUGUGAUAGUCAAAGCGCUAUUCAUUUGAUUAAAAAUCAAAGAUUUCAUGGGAGCACCAAACAUAUUGAUGAUAGAUUCCAUUUCAUUCAAGAUGUCAUUGAAGAGGGAGUUAUAAAGGUCGAGAAGAUUAUCACAAACGAUAAUGUUGCAGACAUGUUGACCAAGAUAUUCUUCUUGCCAAGUUUACACACUACAAGGACUUGGCGGGAGUAUGCAUCAACUGAUGCAACUCUAGGAGAACAAUGCUAGAUGGAGCUAGUGUGCUCAACAAAGGUUUGAUUCUUCUUGUUUCUUACAAUGGGAUUGCCCAGUAAGCUUAGAAUUUUGGCCAAAAUUGUUCAUACACAUGCUCGAAAUGUAAUCCAAGGUGGAGAUGGAAAGAGUUGGUUUGGUCCAUGUGGGGUCAAACCCAAUGGAAGAAAAUUUCAUAUGCCAAUUUACUUGGUUAGGAAUUAAACUUGGAGAGCAAGCUAUAAUUUGUGGAAGACAAAUUUUGUAUUUCUUUUCUUUUGUGCUUGGAGCCCAAGUUUGGCCUUCUAUAAAAGGAUGGACAUUCUUCAUUGUUGAAAACAUCCUAAAACUCAUAGCAAAAUACAUUAGAAGAGUAGAGAAUUAUUAGAGCAAUUCUCUUAGAUGUAUUUGGGAUCUCUCCCCUUUCUUUGUUAAUAUAAAGACAGUUAUUCUCUAGUGGACAUAGAAUCAUUCUGAUCCGAACCACGUUAAAUAUUGUUGUUCAUCCUUGCUCUUUAUUUUUACGUUUCUGCUAACAUUAAUUUUAUGAGCUUCAAAGAUACUAUAAUAUAAAUGUUCACAUUUGCCAGCGGAAAAUUUCUUAAUAGACAAUUCUAGGUUUAUGUUCCAGACUUCCAGUAAACCAUUUGGUUUGUGGGUUAUUUGUCAUGAUCAAAACUUUUAACUUAAUAUCUGUCUUGUUCUCCUUUUUCCUCGUAAAUAAAACUUGAGAAUGUCAUAUUUAAGUGUGUGGCAUAUGUAUAUGCGGCCGAAUAUCAUCGAGUAUUUUCUACCUUCCACCAAUAUAGGUAUUAGAGAAAUAUUGUGUUAUCAAUUUGUAUUCUUAUAUAACAUCAAUACUAGAACGCAUGCUACAAUUGUUCAGCUUCGUUAAACACGGUUUUUUUGCAUUAAUGUGGACUGCCUGCAAAUUCGUUGUAAUAUCAUAUGUAAUAAUAAUAUGUAAGAGAGUAGAAACUAAUUAGCAUAGAAGAGUAAACAUAUUGUUAUCGGUUGGGGAAUAGAUGACGACAUUUCGAGUAAAUAACUCAACAAAUUUAUGGCCUUUAGAGGAGUUGGAAUCUUAAAAAUUCAAUAGCAUAAGCAAGAAUGACAUGCAUUCUGGAAAUGGAAAAGCUAAAAGUAAAAAGAGGAAACUAAGGAAUAUGACAAAGGAUAUUCUGUUUGAAGGUUCUUGACUCCGAGUCUCUCAAGAAUCAAAUGGCACACUUCACAAAUGCAUAAAAUCAAACAGGAUCUCCACCUUUCAGCAACAUUUUUCUGCAUCUAAUGAAAUAUAUAUUUUUUUAGUAGAGCUCUUACCAAAUGGAAUUUGUAAAGGAUCAGUAAAGUCCAUAUAUAUAUAUAUAUCUACAAGCGAUGCAGCAAAAAAUUAAAUGACAGGAUAUGCCGAUUCUCCGGAGGUUUAUUCCUUCUCUUAAAUUGAAAAGGAAUGCUCUAUUAAAACAUGAAAGGAAAUAGUGAUAGGGCUACACUCUAUUGGCAUGCAGCUCUUUUUUGUGGCACCAUACAUCAGCUUGAUCAAAUAUUUGAGCUUACAUGCCAAAGGAGAGUUGCUCUGUUACUGUCUCUAGAAGAAGCUUAGACUCUAGAAGAAGAAGAGGACGGACAUUUUUAUUCAAUAUGCAUAAAUUAAACCCUUCUUUCAAACUCUUUCUCCCUUUUAACCAAAUGCUAAUUGGGUCUGGAUCCCAAAUAAAACACUUCACCCGGCCCAAUCUCGUUCAUCACUUCUAACUGAUCAUACGCCCUUACAGAGCUAACUUAGUUCAUAACAUUGUGCCACCCAGCUGGAAAUUUAGUUUCAAGUUUUAGAGAAGAACAUAUUAACUCAUCAGCGGUGGAUGGAGUAUGCAAAAAACUUUUGCAUCAGAGUUAUAACAUUAAGAAAAACCGUAACCAUGCAACUCUCCUUUGGCAUUUCAUCUAAAAUAUGUGAUGAAUAAAUAACCGCAUGCCAAUAGAAAGUAUCCCUAUCAUUGUUUCUUCUUGUUAGAGAAGAACAUAGUGACUUGCUAGUGUUGGAUACAGUAUGUAUUGCAUCAGAAAUACACUAAGCAGAGACAGUAACAGGGCAGCUCUCCUUUGGCAUGUCAGCUUAGAUGUAUAAGUGCAUGCCAAUAGAGAGUAGCCCUACCACUGUUUCCCUUAUAAAUUCAAGAAUACAUUUUUAUUCACCAACUCUCUUUUUUCUCAUUUUUCUGCUUCUGUUUCAUCACACCAGAGCCUUCCAAGCUUAUAUAGGUCAUUCCUUCUCAGUUUAAGAGACGGUAUAAAGUAUAAACCCAUGGAGAAUCAGCAUAUCCUUCCAUUUUUAUGUCUUCUUGCUUUUUCUAAGGUCAGAAAAUGGGGAACUUUCGUAUCCCUUUUACCAUUUCAUUUUGUGGCUUUUCGGUUUCCGAAUGCUAUUCUCACUUAAUUAGGUACUUUUUUGUGACUAUAUGAAAUGUGUCACUUGACUCUUUUACAGCAUAUCCUUGGUCAUAUUCCUCAUUUUCCUCUUCUUUUGUCCAUAUCGACAUUUCUAUGUUAUAUGUAGGGUCGUUUUUGCCUUUGCGUGGCUUUUCUAUUUCCUAGUGCCACUCUCACUUAAUUAGGCUAGUAAAAUUUUCAGAUCUCAAGUGUUUCAGAAGUUGGGAAACAAAACUGAUUUAGCAAAAGUGUAGGACGACAAAAUAAAAGUUGGAUGGCGCUUUUUGAGUUCUCUCAUAUUACUCAAAUGUGUCAUCAUUUGUUCCAGUUUGCAUAUCACGUGAACGCGAACUAAUUAACUAUCUGUGGAAGUUUAAAAUUUGUUUGCACCUUUCAACACAUAUGGUAUGGUAUUAAUUUACGAAUUUGCAUGCAACAAAAAACAGUCUUUACGACUUACGACAUUCAAGUUUAAUGAAGCUGGACAAUUGGCGUCCAAGUCUGGAUCAAUGUUACAUAAGAAUACAUUCAUAUAAUACCAUCCUAGUUUCUUGCUCCAGCAAGUCUGUCCCUCAAACCUACGCCCCAUAUACCCACAUCACAUCUAUAUUUAUAUCUAUAUCAAUAUCAAUAUCAAUAUUAUUUGAAAGUGAACUUCAAAAUUGGAAAGUUGAAUCACCAGAAUAUCCUUCUAAAUAGUUAAUCUGAAUAUAUAUCCUACUUAUAGAUUAAUUAAAUGAUGUCAAGUAGUGUAUAAUUGAUAAGAGCCACCUAUUUCCAGUAGUUGAUAAACAAAGUCGUCGAGUCAGACACUUCAAGAGCCAAACUAGAAAAGCCACUCUUUGGAAUAAGGGCGUUCAUUGUUUGAAGAAGCAAAUCACUGCAUAGACUUCUAAAACGGAGAUCUUAAGUUCAGUUAGUUAGCUACCUGAACUUUUACAUUGCUAAUGACGAUUCAAUUCCCACCUUGUAAUAUCCUACCCCAUUUCCCUUUCUCUACCCCUAUGUAAUAAAAAAAGAUAUAGAAAAAAACAAUGGAAAAAAAUAAUAAUACAUUAAAAAUAUAUCGUAUUCUGAAAGGACAAAGGCGUUUUCAUCUAGAAUGUCUGCCAGAUUGUGUUUAGGCAGUAGUGAUGUGAGGUAAUUUGAUUGUUUAGUUUGGUAGUUGUUUGUCUCUCGAAAGAAGAUUUUUUCAAUUUGUGCUUGUUUUCUUAUUAGCAUCCAGAAUUGGACUGUGUUGAUUUAUGCCGCUGCAGUUGUGCAGCUUCAAAUGUCUUAAGAGUAAACUGGCACAAAUGAUGAUACACUUCGAACUUUUAUUACAAGGGAACACAACAAGCACCUUAUUCAAACUUUUAUUAUGUCAGGCAAAUGAAGCAGUACUCUUCAUUUCAUGGCCUCUAAAAGAGCUGGAAUCCUAAAAAUCAAAACCAAAUAGAAAAUGUAAAAGAGAAAAGAAGAACAGAAAAAAUAAGGAAUAUGAUAAAAGGAUAUGCUGUAUUUCACUCCUAGAGUGCAAAAGGCACACACUUUAAAGGCAUAAAAUCAUGCAGCAUCAACUUUCAGCAACUUUUUCAUGAGGGAAUCUGAUGAAAAUAUUUUUAAAGGAAUUACUUUCAGGAAAUGAAACUGUAAAGGAUAAGAAAUUUACCACAUUUUUUUACUCAAGAAAAAGCAAUCCCAUAAUGCAAGAAGAUAUCCACAGACCACAACUAGAACCAAAAAUCACAUAGGAUAUGCUGAUUCUCUCCAAGGGUUUAUACUGUCUCUUAAACUGAGAAGGAAUGCCUAUAAAAGCAUUGAAGGCUCUGCUGUUAUGAACCAGAGGAAGAAGAAAACGAGAGUUGGUGAAUGAAAAUAUAUCUUUGAAUUUAUAAGCGAAACAGUGAUAGGGCUACUCUCUAUUGGCAUGCAAUUGUAUAUUUCAGCUGACACGCCAAAGGAGAGCUGCCCUGUUACUGUCUCUGCUUAAUCUACAUGCCCUUUGGGCAUUCUUAAUAUUUUGUUCUGAGUCGUUCUGUUCUCGUGCUAUUCCAAAUAUUAAGUCUUGUUUACAUUGUUGUGAACCCACCAAUUGAUAAUGUGAAUACGAUUGUGAGAUGUAUUCAAUUGGCAGUUAUAACUCUAUUAAUGUUACUGUAUUAGAUUCUAUUUUUUGUAUUUAAUCCUCAAAUUAUUUUUGUUAACUGAAGAUUUAUACAUAGUUCUGAUGAAUUAGAAUUCAACUCGAUUGUAAAUCUCAGACAAGCUGCUUAGAUGGUUCAAAAGAUUUCCAUAGCUAUGAAAUUAACACUUUGGAAAUUCAGGUUACAGGAUAAAUGAGGUUCAGCGGAUUACACAAGCUUCUAUCAGGAAAAUGUAUCAAAAGUUACAAAGUGAUAUAUCUAAAGGUACUUGAAUAUUUUCCAAAGUUUCAAAUAUACAGUUCAAACUCGAGGAAUAUUUAUUCUGGAGUUUGAAUUAGUUAAGUUUAUAAUAUUGGUUCGAAAUAAUGUCUUCUCCAGAAGACUCUAGCCCUGUUAAUUAUGAUAUCGGGGAGCUCAACAUUGAUUCGGAAAAGGCCAACUGGUUCAGCUGCAGCUCAAAGACCAUUUUACAGUUGUAACAUUAGACUUGUAGUUUUAUUCUGAGCCAUUUUAUGUGUAACUACAAAUACUUGAUUCAUUUUGUAGUAAAGUUUGAUACAUCAAUCAUUCUCAAUUCCACAAAUAUUUUGUUUAUAUAAUCUUCUUUUUCUCUCUCGUU